AAGUCGAACGAAGUAGCAAUACUUAGUGGCAGACGGGUGAGUAACAUGUAGGUAUCUUCCCUUUGGUGAGGAAUAACACGAGGAAACUUGUGCUAAUACCUCAUAAGUCUUUACGGAGAAAGCUUUAUGCGCCGAAGGAUGAGCCUGCACUUGAUUAGUUUGUUGGUGGGGUAAUGGCCUACCAAGACUUUGAUCUAUAGCUGAUCUGAGAGGAUGAUCAGCCACAUUGGGACUGAGACACGGCCCAAACUCCUACGGGAGGCAGCAGUAGGGAAUAUUGCACAAUGGAGGAAACUCUGAUGCAGCGAUGCCGCGUGAGUGAAGAAGGCCUUUGGGUUGUAAAGCUCUUUCGUCGGGGAAGAAAAUGACUGUACCCGAAUAAGAAGGUCCGGCUAACUUCGUGCCAGCAGCCGCGGUAAUACGAAGGGACCUAGCGUAGUUCGGAAUUACUGGGCUUAAAGAGUUCGUAGGUGGUUAAAAAAGUUGGUGGUGAAAUCCCAGAGCUUAACUCUGGAACUGCCAUCAAAACUUUUUAGCUAGAGUAUGAUAGAGGAAAGCAGAAUUUCUAGUGUAGAGGUGAAAUUCGUAGAUAUUAGAAAGAAUACCAAUUGCGAAGGCAGCUUUCUGGAUCAUUACUGACACUGAGGAACGAAGGCAUGGGUAGCGAAGAGGAUUAGAUACCCUCGUAGUCCAUGCCGUAAACGAUGUGUGUUAGACGUUGGAAAUUUAUUUUUCAGUGUCGCAGCGAAAGCAUUAAACACACCGCCUGGGGAGUACGACCGCAAGGUUAAAACUCAAAUGAAUUGACGGGGACCCGCACAAGUAGUGGAGCAUGUGGUUUAAUUCGAAGAUACGCGCAGAACCUUACCAACACUUGACAUGUUCGUCGCGACUCUAAGA
rnacentral:rRNA from 1 species